rnacentral:rRNA from 1 species
GAUGAACGCUGGCGGCGUGCCUAAUACAUGCAAGUCGAGCGAACAGACGAGGAGCUUGCUCCUCUGACGUUAGCCGAGGACGGGUGAGUAACGCGUGGAUAACCUACCUAUAAGACUGGGAUAACUUCGGGACACCGGAGCUAAUACCGGAUAAUCUAUUGCACCGCAUUGUUCAAUAGUGAAAGACGGUUUUGCUGUCACUUCUAGCUGCAUCUCGGCGGCAUUGGCUAGUUGUGAAGGUCACGGCUUACCACGGCGACUAGGCGUAGCCGAACUGAGAGGGUGAUAGGCGACCCUGGAACGGGGACGGGGACAAGACUCCUACGGGAGGCAGCAGUAGGGAAUCUUCCGCAACGGGCGAAAGCCUGACGGAGCAACGCCGCGUGAGUGAUGAAGGUCUUCGGAUCGGAAAACUCUGUUAUUAGGGAAGAACAAAUGUGUAAGUAACUAUGCACGUCUUGACGGUAACUAAUCAGAAAGCCACGGCUAACUACGUG